AACUGGUCCAAAAAAGAUAAAGUGAUCACAACCUAUUGUUCACAGACAGUUCCAGAUCUGUCUCCUUGUUCUCUCUUUCUCUCCCUUCUCACUAUUUCACUUGACUAGUCUUAA
ensembl:Y_RNA Y_RNA Y RNA